GUCUUGUAAUUGGAAUGAUGGUGACCUAAACCCUCACCAGAGUAACAAUUGGAGGGCAAGUCUGGUGCCAGCAGCCGCGGUAAUUCCAGCUCCAAUAGCGUAUAUUAAACUUGUUGCAGUUAAAAAGCUCGUAGUUGAAUUUCUGCGUUAUCGAGUUAUUGACUCUUGUCUUUAAUCGAUUUCGCUUUUGGGAUUUAUCCCUUUUUACUUUGAGAAAAUUAGAGUGUUUCAAGCAAACUUUUGUCUUGAAUACUUCAGCAUGGAAUAAUAGAGUAGGACUUUGGUUCUAUUUUGUUGGUUUUUGAACCUUAGUAAUGGUUAAUAGGAACGGUUGGGGGCAUUCGUAUUUAACUGUCAGAGGUGAAAUUCUUAGAUUUGUUAAAGACAAACUACUGCGAAAGCAUUUGCCAAGGACGUUUCCAUUAAUCAAGAACGAAAGUUAGGGGAUCGAAAACAAUCAGAUACCGUCGUAGUCCUAACCAUAAACUAUGCCGACUAGGGAUUGGAGGUCGUCAUUUUUCCAACUCCUUCAGCACCUUGAGAGAAAUCAAAGUCUUUGG
rnacentral:rRNA from 1 species